GUCCUCAGAUACAAUGGACAAU
rnacentral:miRNA from 1 species